rnacentral:rRNA from 1 species
UACGGAGGGUGCAACCGUUGCUCGGAAUCAUUGGGCGUAAAGCGCACGUAGGCGGUCCAGUAAGUCGGGUGUGAAAUCCCUCGGCUCAACCGAGGAAGUGCAUUCGAAACUACUGAACUUGAGUAUGGAAGAGGGUCGCGGAAUUCCCGGUGUAGAGGUGAAAUUCGUAGAUAUCGGGAGGAGCACCAGUGGCGAAGGCGGCGACCUGGGCCAAUACUGACGCUGAGGUGCGAAAGCGUGGGGAGCAAACAGG